GAUGAACGCUGGCGGCGUGCCUAAUACAUGCAAGUCGAGCGAAUGGAUUGAGAGCUUGCUCUUAUGAAGUUAGCGGCGGACGGGUGAGUAACACGUGGGUAACCUGCCCAUAAGACUGGGAUAACUCCGGGAAACCGGGGCUAAUACCGGAUAACAUUUUGAACCGCAUGGUUCGAAAUUGAAAGGCGGCUUCGGCUGUCACUUAUGGAUGGACCCGCGUCGCAUUAGCUAGUUGGUGAGGUAACGGCUCACCAAGGCAACGAUGCGUAGCCGACCUGAGAGGGUGAUCGGCCACACUGGGACUGAGACACGGCCCAGACUCCUACGGGAGGCAGCAGUAGGGAAUCGUCCGCAAUGGACGAAAGGCUGACGGAGCAACGCCGCGUGAGUGAUGAAGGCUUUCGGGUCGUAAAACUCUGUUGUUAGGGAAGAACAAGUGCUAGUUGAAUAAGCUGGCACCUUGACGGUACCUAACCAGAAAGCCACGGCUAACUACGUGCCAGCCGCCGCAGUAA
rnacentral:rRNA from 1 species